rnacentral:lncRNA from 1 species
CUUUGUUUAUAGCACAAGUGAAACUCCACUUUAUUGAACGAUGGGGUCUCAAAUGGGCUGCCUCUUUGCCACUCUUUUGGUAGUAUCAGUCUCUCUUAGCUACUUGCCGUUAGAAGCCUCCGCAAACAAAUACUACUACACAUCUCCUCCCCCUCCCAAGUACAAGUCUCCACCACCCCCGCCACCGGUUCACAAUUCUCCACCACCACCCCCUGUUUACCUGCCCCCGCCACCUCCUCCACCAGUCUACGUGCCUGCUCCGGCACCAACUCCAAUUUCCUAUUCCCCGCCACCUCCUGUCCCCAAGUCCCCACCACCACCUCACCCUUACGUCUAUGCAUCUCCCCCUCCUCCUUACUACUACUAGAAAGCGGCCAUGAAUAGCUCAUGCUUUUAUGGUAAUCUCAUUUAUUUUUAAAACUGUACAUGUAAAGACUAGUAGUUCAGAAUUACAUUAAGCAUUUCAAUUUUAAGCACCGUGUUCUGUUUAAUUGCGUUCCUAUUGAUUAAGUGACAAAUAAAAGAGAUUGAUUAAUUUGUUCUUGUAGGAGAGGCGAAUGGUAUCCGAAUAAAGAAAGCAAGGGUUUGAUGGAAGGCUUACUUGGAGCAAGAUAGCGAUCAAUCGAGUUGCUGCGUUUUAUUCUCUUUUAUCUUUGUUUUUUAAGAAAAAUAAACUGCCACGCGUAGAAACAGAAAAUUAAGUUCUUGUCAUUUUCAUGCAUAUGGAUUGUUGAUGUGUGUGUCAAUCAAAUCUCCGGUGUGUCAUUUGUAAUUUUCAACCUUUAUGCAUGCAAAUGGGAGACCUCUUACGUAUAAUAAAAUUAAUAUACUUCCCAAGAUGGUCUUAUCUUGCGUUGACUUUUUACGUUCCUUUGGUGAUGAUUUUGAAUGCCAAAAGCGUGGUCAUGGAUUUUUCGUGCAACUACAGAGCACAUUAACGAGAGACUUAUCCAUGAGGGUCCAUGCAGAUCAGUGUCUAAUUAACCAAUAAUUAAUAUAACUUAAAAAAUAUAGAGUUAACAAUUUUUAUGGGUCAGGCUCAAUUAUAGAUGUUCGUACAAAAUUUCUUGCUAAUGUAUACUUGAGUAUGAUAAUAAGUUUUAAUCAUUAUUAGUAAUUCACUUGAUAAUAUUAAACAAAUUUUCAUAUCAAUUAAGUUACAAAAUUUCUGUGACAAAUUUCCACGUACUGGAACCAUGCAAAAGGGCUUUGUUCAAACAGAGCUGCAUAGCCGUUGGCAAUUAAAAUUAUUUAUCAAUAAAGUUAAGUAGUAAGAAUUGGAUUGUGGAUUCCAUUAAUUAUUUCAAGGAAAAUUUUAUAGAUAAUGCCGUAAUGAAAUUUACGGCAUCAAUAUCAUGAUAAAUAUAAAUAUUGUAAAUUACAAAUAGAAUUAGUAAAUGUAAAGUAAAACCAGUAAAUUCAUAAAAGAUUAUUAAUUAUUUAAAAAAUUAACAUUGUUUCUACAUAAUUUUAGUGAAAAAUAUUUUAUUCAUUUACAAAAAAAAAUUCUUUAAUUAAACAAAAAAAAUUCAUUAAUUAAGCAAAAAAAUUAUACUGAAAAAAAAGUGGAAUAAGUUUUUUUAUCAGUGGUGUGGACUUUGUAAACUUUUCAUCCUUAAUUAAACAUCACAUGUAUUAUAGAAAUGCAAAACUACCAUUGUUAUAUUUAAAUUAAAAAAUAAUAAAUAUAUAAGGUAAUAAACAUUAUAACGAGUUUUUAUUUUAAAAUUGUAAACUUUUAUUUCUGACAAUAACUCUUAUAUUAAUUUAUUUAUUUUGCCUUUUAUUCAUAAGUUUUAUGCAUAAUCUACAAAGUUUAUGUUUUAUUUUGCAUUUAAUGUUGAUUUUCUUUUUUUAUAUUAUACGUAUAAGUUUUCAUUUUAUUUACCAGUAAUACAUCAAUUUAUCAGUUUUAUAGUAAUUUACUUAUUUUACCUUCCUUUUAUAAUUCUUAUGUUUCAUUUCCAAAAUUUAUGUUUUAUUUUACAGUCGUUGAUGAUUUACUAGUUUUAUGUUAUGUUUGCAAGUUUUUGUUUUGUUUACUAGUAAUAGAUUAAUGGGUAAUUUUUAAUUGAGUCCUCAUUAGUUCUAGAAAAAAAAUUCAGAGACCAGAAGUUUACUAAAUGAAUCAAUUAAAUUCUUUCAAUUACAAACUAAUGUCAUUCAAAUCCUUAACUUAAUUGCUCAGUUAAAAAUAUUAACAACGUUGAGGACAUUUUAGUAAAACAACAAAUGAGUCGUUUCUCAUUCUUUAUUUUUGACAGGUGGAAAUAGUUUAAAGUAAACUCAAUUAACCUGAUUAAGUUAAGGAUCAGUUCUUUCAAAUGAAAAAAAAACCUACAGAAACUGCCAUAUUCUUCGUCUGAGAGGAGAGAUCGAGAGAACGUGGGACGGCGCAAAAAAUGUUGUAUAAAUCUACUGUGAUUUUGACCAAAGCUUUGGUAGCAUUGAUUGAGUUCAAGUACUGGAGAGAACCUGAGUUUAAAGGUUAGUAACUCUAUUUUUUUAGUGAUUUCUGCAAGCAUUUUCUGAUAAAAAUUUUUCCAUAUUGAGUGAUCGUUGUGAAAAAUUAAGUUUUUCAAGUCUAUUUUUCAAAAUGACAAACUAUGUUUAAUUAUUGGUGGAUUCUUUUUUUUGUUCAAUGUUGUAUUUUGUUAAUUUGUUGUUUUUAAUUUGCUCUUUAUGUAAUUGUUAGACCAAAUACACCAUUAUUAUACCUGUAUUCAUUUCAACAAUUUGGUAUUGUUAUAUUAAUAAGAUUGAAUUCAUUGUAUUUGCUUCUUUGUUCAUGUAAAAUUGAAUUCUAUGUAUUCUUAUGAGUGAUAAUUUUUCUAUCUAUUAGACUAAAUUCACUAUAUUCACUACUUUCUUUCUUUUUGCUGGGCUAUUUUUUCUUUUUAGUUUAUAUUUUUUAUAUGUAUUAGAUUGAAUUUGCUUUUGUGCGUUUUUUAGCCGAAUUACAUGUAUAUUUCAUUUAGGUUGAGUUUUUUUGUUGUUUGCUAAAUAAAAUUAUAUUGGUUUAUCCUUUUUUGAUGCAAUACUUUUGUUUAAAAUUAAUGCAGGUAGCCAUGUUACCUUUUUUUCGGUUAAAAUUAAUGGGGUGAUGUAUGCGAUAGGAUAUAGGGAACCAGAGGAAUAUAAGAUUAUUAGGCUGUUUCUUGAAAUUCAAGAUGUCAUGGUUAAGCAUGGACACAGUGAAAUGGAUUUGAUUGAAAUUUCUGUUGUAAUUUUUUCUCAAAAUCGGAUUUUGAAAAAAAUAUUAUUUUAAUAUCUUUUAUAGUUGUUUUAAGAUGAGGUUAUUUUACAUCUUUCUACACUUCUUCAGCAACAACCUUAAAUGGUCUCCAAAUACAAGUAAAAAGUUUGAAACUACAUAAAGUAUACAUAAUAUUCAAAAUUAGAUCUAAUUUUAUUGAUAUCUCUUUGUGUUUUUUUACUUGAUCCACAUCAAGAUAAAUAAUUGCACUUAAUUAACAUGUGUAAUAAAUAGAUAUCAUUAUAGAAAAUGGGAAAAAAAUGUAUACAAAUGUCCUAGACUAAAUAUAGAAUUUAUUGAAGAUUGAAAAUUACAAUCUUCAAUCUCAUCGGGAGUCUUUAUGGAAUCCAGCACAUUGAUUGUAACUUGCUGGUCAUUCACCCUCAUGGUUAAUUCUCCCUUUUGAACAUUAAUUAAAGUCUUUCUCGUGGCUAAGAAAGGUCUCCCUACAAUGAUUGACACUUCUUUGUCUGCCUCAAAGUCUAGCACAAUGAAAUCCACCGGAAAAAUAAAUUUAUCCACCUUCACCAACACAUCUUCAAUCUUUCCUUUUGAAUAGGCAUGAGAUCUGUCAGCAAGUUGUAGAGUCACUGUUGUUAGUCUACAUUCACCAACUCCCAAUUGCUUAAAUACUGAUAAAGGCAUGAGGUUGAUGCUAACCCCCAGAUCACAAAGUGUUUUGCCACUGUAUUUAGUGCCUAUGGAGCAUGGGAUUGUGAAGCUUCUUGGAUCCUUCAUCUUUUGUGGUAUCUUACUCUGAAGCAUUCGGCUGCACUCUUACGUUAGAGCAACUGUUUCAAACUCUCCAAGUCUUCUUUUCUUUGUCAAAAUAUCCUUUAAAAGUUUCGCAUAAUUUGGCAUUUGCUCUAGAGCUUCCACAAAAGGGAUAUUGAUAAAUAGUUGUUUCCGGCACUCCCAAGAUUUUGCUGAACUGCUUGUCUUGUUUUUUCUUCUGAAACCUUUAAGGAAAGGGUGGUGGAUGUUUAAAUUGUUGUGCUGCAGCAGGUUGUGCAGACUGCUUCUAUUUUGCUUUACUCGGGUCUGUUGUUGCAAUCUCGUUAUCCACAGGUGUUGGAUCAUCAUUUUUGGCAAAUGCUGCAGCUUGACUGCUCUCACCAGUGAGCUGUGAAGUUGAGGAUUGUGGCUCUUUUUCAAUUUGAGUUUCUUUCUGGAUUGAAGUGGACUCAACUCUUCUUUUUGAUACACCAACGGGACUAUGAACAUCCUUUCCAGAUCUCAAAUUAAUCACUUUGCAGUGCUCUUUCCCUUCUCUUCUUAGGUCCUCUGUAUUACUGGGUAAACUACCUUGAGGUCUGUUGCUCAAUGUUGUAGCAAGCUGUUCAAUUUGAUUUUCCAAGUUUCUCAAAGAUACAAUAUAACUUUGGACAACUACUUCAUUCUUCACAAUAUAAUCCUUAAUCAAACCUUCAAGGGAGCUGAGUUGAUCAUUGUUGAUGCUUCUUUGCUCUUGAUUUUGCUGAUAAAAUCCACUAGGUGCUGCAGCAGUCUGGUUCUGACAACCCCAUGAAAAGUUCGGAUGUUGUCUCCAUCCAGGGUUGUAAGUGUUUGAAUAUGGAUUGCUAUGGUUCUGUCUAUUGAAGCUGCCCACAUAAUUGACUGAAGCUGGAUUCCCAGAACAAUUGUCAAAUAAAUGUCAUUCUCCACAAUAAACACAAGACACAUUAGAAAUUUGGUUAACAGUUGCUGGAGCACUGGUCAUACCUUUCACCAUGUUUGUUAAUGAAGUUACUUGGGUUGACAAUACUGUCAAGGCAUCUACGUUAUGAACUCAUGAUGUUCCUCUUGCAGCAGCUUGUCUGGUUGACGGCCACUGAUAGUUAUUGUUGGCUAUUCUCUCCAAAAUUUCAUAAGCCUCAUUAUAAGACUUAGAUAAUAAGGCCUCAUUUGCUGAAACGUCCACCAUCAAUCUAGUACUUGGGUUGAGACCAUUAUAGAAAGUUUCCAAUUGUAUGCAACAAGGAAUACCAUGAUGAGGACAUCUCCUGAGUAACUCCUUAAAUCUCUCUCAUGCAGCACACAAGCUCUCAUCUUCAAGUUAAUGGAAAGAUGUGAUCUCGUUCCUCAACUUUGCAUUCUUGGUUGGCGGGAAGUAUUUCAUCAAAAACUUUUUAGCCAAAUCAUUACAUGUAGUGAUAGAAUCUGGUGGUAGAGAAUUCGACCAUGCUCUUGCUUGGUCUCUCAAAGAAAAAGGGAAAAGUUUGAGUCUCAAUGCUUCCUGCGAUGCUCCAGCAAUCUUGAAAGCAUCACUUACUUCCAAAAAUAACUUAAGGUAUAGAUGAGGAUCUUUGAAUGGCAAACCAUUAAAUUGCCCCACUGUUUGAAGCAUUUGAAACAUCACGGGUUUGAGUUCAAAAUUGUCAGCUUGAAUGUCGGGUCUAACUAUUCCCGGAUGUAUGGCUUGAGGAGUCAACACUACGUAAUCUCGAAUGGCUCUAUCUAUAUCGUUCGCCAUGUGAAUAAUGUUGUUGUUCCCCGGUUGCCUUUGAACACAUUGUCCAUUCAGACCUUCAUGUACAUUGACUGGUUGUAUCUCCUCUCUACAGUUCAAGUUUCUCAAAUCUUGGAAUUCAUCUAUUAUUACAGCAGCUUGUAAUUCCUGAUGCUCUCUUCUCAAUCUCCUUACAGUUCGUUCAAUUUCUGGAUCAAACUGGAAUUCAAUAGAUUUAUAUUUGCGCAUGCAACGGUUGUUAGAUCACCUAUGUCAACAAAAUAAACAAAUCAAAAUAAAAUUAAAAAUUAGCACCGUUAAAACUAAUUUCACAAAUCACAAUGAAUAAUCAAUCCCCAGCAACGGCGCCAAAAACUUGUUGGGUAAAAAUACUAAUGCUAUUGGUGUCAAUGUGCAAGUGUACACAACAAGUAAUAUAAUUAUGAGUAUUCAAGAUCGUCUCCACAGGAAUUAAUAUUAUUAGAUUUGCUACAGCAAUCCCAACAGUGCAGAUUUUGUUUUAAUGAUCAAUUUAGUUCCUUUGAAACUCUGAUUAUCAAUUAAAAUAAAAAUGCAAUAAAUAAAAUGUAACAAAGUAAAUUAUCACGUCAAACUCAAAGAUAAAACCAAUAGAAAUAUAGAGUAGUUGAGUGAAUAAACUCUCCUAAUGGUCUUGACUAUUUUCUAAUUGUUGGCUUGGUUGCUGCAGUAUCUACUACAACACUGGGCAGAAUCCUUAUGCAUCUUCAGCCGUCGCAUGUUGGAUAUCUUAUAUCUAUAUGCAACCUAACAGUGAUCAGUUAUUAUGCCAACAUAAAAUAUAGCAUUACACACUUUGGUUCUAUUUACCCUACAAGGUGAAUCCCUAUGUCUAGUUCAUCACUAAUCUUAAAUCAAGCAUGACCCUUUUGGGACUCAAGUAAAACUCAAUCCAGGAAACUCAAUUUAAGAUCAAGUAUUGCUUUGAUAUAUUCCACUCAGAUAAGCCCUUUUGUGGCUCUUCCUUAGCUAGUAUCAUUAAAUGGGUGAUCAGCCGAAAUAAUGAAUAAAAAUAAAUUCUAUCAAAACAAAAUGCUACAGCAAACAUGCAUCAACUCAUAUUUUCAGUCAAUAAACCAUCAAGAUUGUUUAUUACUCAACCACAAAUAAAUUUAGUUCAUGAUUUGCAAAAGAAAAAUAAAGAACAAAGUUUCGUCCAUGAAACACAUCCCCAUGAAUAAAUAGAAAACACGAAAAUAAGAGAAGGAUAAGAAGGAUUGAGCUCCCAAUUGAUCUCUGCAAUUUUCAUUUCUCAUCAAACAACUCUCUUUUAGAAUGGAUAUACAAAUGAUAGCUCAGUGAAGAUUUAAUCUAUGAUGAUUUACGAAAUUGAAGCUCAAUAUAUGUUGUGUGCACUUGUUUAUGCUUUCAAGAUUACCAAAAAUGAAUUGGAUUUGAGUUUAUAUAGUUUGAGCCCAAAAACUAGCCGUUAUAGACUAAUUUUUUGUGAUAACUGGCUUGCUGCUUUGUGAAUCUGGUUAGCCAUUUUUAUGUUACUGUUACAGCAAAUAUUUGAAUUUUGGAACAUCUAGCAUGCUGCUUUCGGAAUCCGGUUAGUCGCUUUCAUUCCAGUGAGCUACUGCCCAUAAUCUGACUUGCCGCUUUGUAAAAUCUUGUUAGUCGCAUUGCUACAGUGACGACUACAGUGAACUAUUUUCUAAAAUUACAAAACGUCGUAAAACUUUGCACAAAGGUCCAAUUUUAGAAUUUCUAAAUAAUGCUUGUUAUUCCCAAAACUUUCUGAAAUUAUGAUACCGUCAAAAAUGCUAUAAAACUUUUCAAAUAAGUCCCUCUCCAGAAUUCCAAGCAAUACUUGUUGAUUUCAAAGUUUUCAAAACUCUUUCAAUUAGACCACAAACUUGAAAAACAACCAAUUUUAUAAAAUCAUUUUUUCAUUAAAUAUAAAACCUUUAUAAUGUGAAAAUAAUGAUUUAUUUAAAAUGUAUAAAAAAUAAUUUGAACUUUUAAAGACUUAAUCAUUCUUAAUUUUAUUUGUUAUCAUCAAAAUCAACAUUAUGAAUACAUAAAUGUUAACAAUCUCCCGCUUUUUGAUGAUGACAUAAUUUUCAUGUAUUUAAAGAAUGAUUGCACAAAUUGCUCCUCCUAAAUGUAAGCUCCCCUUACAAUUUGAACUUAAAAGAUUAAUAAUUCUUAAUAUUGUUUGUUAUCAUCAAAAUCAACACUGUGGAAACAUAAAUGUUAACAAUCUCCCCCUUUUUUAUGAUGGCAAACCUUCAUGUAUUUAAAGAAUGAUUCCACAAAUUGCUCCCCCAAAAUGUAAGCUUCUCUUACAAUUUAGCUAAAUUAACAAAUUUAAAUACAUGUAUUCUUCUCCCCCUUCAUCAUAAAAAAGAAAACUUAAUGGAAAAGAAAAAGAGUAGCAAAUUUGUUAUCCAUGUUGUUCGAGUAGAAAUUUCGAUAGAAUCUCCCCAUAACAACAAGCAUCACCUCAAAUACAAGUUUAAUAAUAUUACUCCUAAAUUAUUAUAAAUCAUGAUACAAGCCAACUUCAUAUACAAAUCAUCACACAAUCCAUCAACCAUAAAAACAUCAUGAACCAUUAUUCCAUCAAUUACCAAAUCAACAACUCAUAACAUAAAAUUAUCAUGUAAAACAACCAUGUAAUCAAAUCAUCAUCAUAUCCCAAAAUCAUCAAAAUCAUCACCAUAAUCACAUAUCAAUCAUCAAAACAAUACUCAAAGUGCAUAUUAUUCUCCUCCUUUUGACAACAUCGAAAUGAUAUAUUACUUUGUCUCCCCCUUUGGACAACAAAAAAGUUCAAAAUGCAUAUUAUCCAAAAUCAUAUUGUAUGCUCCCCCUAAAUAUAUGGCCAAUUUAAAAUUUUAACCAAACUGAUUUUAUCCAAAAAUAUAUCAUAUUUAUCUCUCUCUUCAUCAUAAAAAAAAAAAGAUAGAUAUAUGCAAUCGAAACAAGAUCAUCAAAAAUAAUUCAAUGAAGAUAUUACCCAUUUUGUGCGAACAAAAAUUUUGGUAGUCUCCCCUUAAAAUUAAACAAAUCCUCAAACACACAACAUGGUUAAAAACACUUCCAUAUAAGCUUAAAUAAUUAUAACAAACCAACAACUCCAUCAAUUCAUUAAAGCAACACACAUAUAAUCAUCAAUCAUCAAAAUCAUCAAGAAAUCAAUUUUAAUAGUAUUAAUAACAUGAUUAGAGAUAUUAAUAAAUUUCAUCAUCCUAAGUUCAUGCCGAAUUUUUGAAAAUUGUUCUUCGCAAAAGGGUUUUGAUUUGUUUACCAAAUUGGCAUGCAAAAGUUAUAAGAACAUAUUAUCAACUAUCCAAGCUCCAUAAUUACUAAUCACGUUUUAGAAAUUAAGACAACUAAACUCAUCAAAGAUCUAAUGUGACAUUUCAAUAUAAUUUAAAAAUAUUAUAUGCUUAAAUUCUCGAAGUAUAUGUAUUUUUUCCUUUUUCGAUAUCAUUUAAAACAAGUAAUGCAUAUUCAACAAUACAUCGAUAAAGUAUAAAAAAUGCAUCCAUUCAUCAAUCAUAGAUUGCAUAAGAUCAAACUUCAUCAAAUACAAUGUAAUCAUCAAAGCACAUUCUUUAUCAUCAAAACUUAAGUAAAGCAUAAGUACAUAAUGACAAUAUAUAGAUCAUCAAAAUCAACAUAUAGCAAUAUAUAGAUCAUCAAAAUCAACAUAGCUAUUAAGAAAAGCCAUCAUGAUGAGCUAAACAACAAGUGAUCAAAUCCAUUAUUACAAAUGCUCACAUAGGCCAAUUUAAUAAAUGAUGAUAUAAUACAAUAAAUGACAUAUGAAUUUACACAUACAUAAGUGAUGAACGAAUAAGGAAGAUGAAUAAAUGACAUGAAACAUGAUGAUAGACAAUUAAAAAAAAAAAGAGAGAUCAAAGGUCAUACAAUCAUUGAAAUCAAACAAAGGCAUCAUGAUAAGUUUCAUGAUAAGUUGACAUGCUACCAUCAUAUAGAUUUAUCCAUACAUCAUGAUUACAUACAAUAAUAAUUCAAUUAUGUAAACGUAUGAGUAUGCUUUUGUAAAUUCAAGCUAUUAUCCAUCCAUCAUGAUUCAUUCAGCAAAAUCAAUAUGGCAAGAAUUGUUACCAAAAUAAUUAAAUCAUCUUGCCUCAUCUUUUUCUCUUAGAUCAUAAUCAAGUGAUUAUCCUCACAAUCUUUCAUCAAGGAACUCUCUACCAUUUCUUGAUUAUGGUACCUUGAUAACUCUAUAAAAUAAGAGUUAUCAUGACACUUUUAGACUUAAAUCAAUAAUAUUUCGAGAGUAAAUAAUGUGUUUUCAUUGUAUUUUUGUUUAAUUUUGCAUAAACAUUCACUUAGUUUAUUCGUAAUAAAUUAUGUUUGAUUUAGAAUAAUUUGUGUGCUAAAUCAUAUGCAUAAUUGUAGGUGUCCGGAAGCCCAAAUUUCAAUGAAAGAAUGCUGAUGCAAUAGGCUUGCAAAAGAUAGAAAAGAACUUGGCUACAAAAGAAUUGAAACAAAUCUGGAACAAUUCAGUUGUUGUAGUUAUUGCUGUAGCAACCUAGAACAACGACAGAGAAAAUUCUGCGUGGGAUAAUUGCAGAAUUGAGAUCUGAAGUUUCCUAAUCUGACUUAUGCAUGACCUAAGCUUCCGUUGCCCUAAUUUUCAAUUAUAAAAGAAGUACACAUCAUAAGGAAAAGAGGGAGCCGUCACCCAAGGAGAAAAAUAAAAAGAAACAAAAGAAAAACAAUCUCUUGAUUGUAAGGCCAUCUCCAAUGCAUAACGCCAUUUUUGUGUAACACCAACACCAAAAAUGUACCUUUUUCACACCAACUUACUGUUUCAUCUCCAACCCAUUUACACCAAAUUUUACACCAAAAAGAAUAUUCUUCUUUUUAUUCUUUUAAUUCUCAAGAAUUAAUUCAAUUAACACAAUAAAUAUUACUAUUAAUAUAGAUAAUUACGUAAUAAAUAAUUUUAUAUCGAUUAACAAAAGAAAUAUAGAAAAUUAUUAAUUUUGUAAUAUGUAAUCUAGUAAUUAAUGUUAUUGGCAUUUUAUUUUUAUUAUUAAUUUUUGUGUUGAAUAUUUUUUAUUUAAAAUUUUAGUAUAAUAUUCAAAAAUUAAAAAAAUGAAAUAAAAAGAAUAACAAAAAUAAUAAUAACUUAAAAUAUUAUAUAAAAUAGGGCAUAUAUGUAAAUAAGAAAAAGUAAUAAGGAUAUUUGGGACUUUUUUUCCGCAACACCAAAUGAAUAGUGUUGCACCAUAUUUGGUGCAAUACUAUUCAUAACACCAUUUUGGUGUUGGUUUUGGUGUUACAUUGGAGAAGCAUUUUACACCAAAAAUGGUGUCAAAAGUGAUUUGGUGAUAGGUUUGGUGCUACAUUGGAGAUGCCCUAAAGGUCCAUUGACACCUUGGAAGUCAAUUGUAAAGAACUUGAAGCCUUGAGAUGCUUGGAUAGUGAAAUCCUCAAGCCGGGUGAGCUUAGAGGUGUGGACGUAGGCGGGGAUUGCCGAACCACGUAAAAAUCAUUGUGUUUGUUUUCUCUUCCCUUACUCUCUUAUUAUUAUGCUGUAUUGAAUUUAUUAUUUUUUAUUCCAUUAAUACAUUAGAUUAAAUUAUUUUGUGGUUUGCUUAUCUUAAAUUUUAAAAUUCUAAUUCACCCCCCUCUUGGGUUGCCUAGUUAGUGUUUCAGAAAUAUAUGACAACUUUAAGGAAGAAAAUAGAAUAGUAUUAAUAGAAUCUAUUUUAACCAGUCUUGAAAUAAUUCAAGACAGAUGCAAAAUAUAUAACAAGACUCUAAAUCGUCCAUAAUAAGUCUAUUGAUGAAUAAUAACAAUAAUAGUGAUGUGAAAUUUUUUAUUCAGAAUGCUCAAUUUAGAUUAUAAUAUCUAUAUGAAAGCAUUGAUGGCAUGUACCUUGGUUGGGAAAAUAGAUUGGACACAUUGAUAGAUAUGUUGGAAGAAAAAAUCUAGUUUAUGUCUCAAGAGAGACAAGAAAUUAUAAAUGCCGGUGCUAUAGUAUAUUUGGAUUUGAUGAUCAUUUAGAUCUUUAUAAAAUUAUAAUAAAACUUUAAAAAUAUUUAAAAAUAUAUGUAGAAGAGAUGGAAGAAGAAAUCAUCCAGUUAUUCAAAAUCAAUUAAACAAAAAUAAAAGGUAAAAUCCUUGAAUUAUAUAAAUUAUACAAUUUCACAAAAAUUUAGCAUAUAUUGCAGAAAGGUCCUUGUGGCAUAGAUUAUGGGACUAGUGUAGCAUAAAUACUAAUAUUGUUUUUUAUUUUGUAAAUAAAUUAUUGCGUCAUAAUUUUUUUACAUACAAAUUUUAUGUUCUAAAAUAUUAAUUUGUUUUUGUAUUUAGAGUUAAUUUUAUAAUUUCAGACUUUGUUCAACUAUAUGUCCAAGUCCUUCACGUGUUGGUUGAUGUUGAAUAUUCAAAGAUCCACAAGCUAUCAACAACAACAAAUCAAAUUAAACUAAUUAGCUAACACAUAAUGAUUGGGUUGUUUCCUAUGCUUGUUAAUGAUGUAGAACAUUAUUUUAGAAUUUUAGAAUUUUAAUUCUUUAGGUCUUUUGAUAUUUUUUUUAAUUAAAGUCAGUGUCUUAGACUUUUAUUUCUAUUAUAAUUAUCAUUUACUUUCCCUUUUAAGUUAACUUAGGAAAGUAGAUUUACUCUAUUAUAAAUAAAGAGAUCUUGUUAUCACUUUUAUAACUUCAACUUCAAUUAUUCAAUUAAAAACCCCUCUUUUAUAAUUUCCUUUGGUAUUAUCUAUUAAAAAUUCCUCUUUGAGAGUUGUUUGAUUAUAGCAUCAUCUAGCCUUGCUUAACGCAGUUUUAAAAAUCUCAUUGAGUUUAAUUACAUUUCGAUUAGAGCGUAACUUAAUCGUAUUGACUUGGUCCAGUACUUGAACCAUAUCUAGUGUUUUGCUUCCGCUACGCCCAAGGAGAAAAUUAAUUUCACCGUGAGAUAAGAGCAUUGAAAGGAAUUCAUGAGAAAUUUAAAUUAAGCUUUGUUAAAUAUAUCGCUAGCUACUUGUUUUUGGAGGAACUAAAACAAUUAAUUAGCUACGAAGUGAAAAUAAAUAAAUAAAUGAAAUCAAGUUGAAAAUAAAAUAAGUUUCGCCGCCUGGAUCCAAGGCCAAAACAUUCAUGAUAAGUUAGGUAAUUAAGUACAUGUUUUCAAGCUCUUCAUGAAGCAUAAUGUUAUUGAAAUAAAUCACAAAGACUCCCUGCGCACAUUAUUACAUUGAUUAAAAAACAAAUGCCAUAUGUUUAACAGGAUCGUGACUCUGGGACUGUUAAUUACUUUAUUCCCUGCUUGGCCAACAGCUGGCCACUAAACAAAUCAUAAAAAUUUUAAAUUUAGUCAAAUUGGUCCGACUUGAUGACAUCCUUUUCAUACAUAAAAUUGUUUAACGUCAAGGUUAAAUAUGAGAAGUUUGGUAGAGAAGGUAAAAGGGAAGUGUAUAUAAGGAGGGGAACGAGCUUUGUUUAUAGCACAAGUGAAACUCCACUCUAUUGAACGAUGGGGUCUCAAAUGGGCUGCCUCUUUGCCACUCUUUUGGUAAUAUCAGUCUGUCUUAGCUACUUGCCGUUAGAAGCCUCCGCAAACAAAUACUACUACACAUCUCCUCCCCCUCCCAAGUAAAAGUCUCCACCACCCCCGCCACCGGUUCACAAUUCUCCACCACCACCCCCGAUUUACAUGCCCCCGCCACCUCCUCCACCAGUCUACCUGCCUGCUCCGGCACCAACACCAAUUUCCUAUUCCCGGCCACCUCCUGUCCCCAAGUCCCCACCACCACCUCACCCUUACGUCUAUGCAUCUCCCCCUCCUCCUUACUACUACUAGAAAGCGGCCAUGAAUAGCUCAUGCUUUUAUGGUAAUCUCAUUUAUUUUUAGGCACCGUGUUCUGUUUAAUUGCGUUCCUACUGAUUAAGUGACAAAUAAAAGAGAUUGAUUAAUUUGUUCUUGUAGGAGAGGCGAAUGGUAUCCGAAUAAAGAAAGCAAGGGUUUGAUGGAAAGCUUACUUGGAGCAAGUUAGCGAUCAAUCGAGUUGCUGCGUUUUAUUCUUUUUUUAUCUUUGUUUUUUAAGAAAAAUAAACUGCCACACGUAGAAAUGGAAAAGUUAUUGUCAUUUUCAUGCAUAUGGUGUUGGGAAAAUAUGCUCUUUAAAAGCAUAUGUUUUUAUUUAAUUGUAAUAAAUAAUUUUUCUAAUUAAUAAAAUAAAUGAGGUAUUUUAUUUAAAUAUUUUAAUUACAUUAAUAUUUUUAUUAAAGUCCAUUUAAUCAUAUUAUAUGUAUUUAUGUGAUCACCAUGUGGAUUCACAUAAGACAUAAAUAUAAGUUAUCUUAUGAUUAAAUAAAUUUAGUUCGCAAUUGAUCAAUAAAGUUGGGCACUUUAUUUAGGUAUAGACUGUAAUAAAUUCAUUGAAUGAUUUGUCUUAAUCAUGUAUGAAUUUAUUGAUGUAGUACGACUACAUUGAACAAGAUCACAUAUGAGAUUUAAUUAACUUUGUAAUAACUGUCAGACUUAUUAAAUCUCAUAGGCAUUGAUUUUACUGUAAUCUUAAUCUUGAGUUAAUUAUGAUUUCAUGAUUGUAAUUGUUAUUCCAUUUGAGUUACCAAUGGGCACGACACAUACUUGUGGUCAAGAUUACCCGGUAUCUUGGUGGGAGCAAUUAUGGGUAUUGGAGUUAUGGAUUAACAAUAUAGAAUUUGUACAACACAUCUCUUGAUGGGUUUUCGGCACCUGAUCAUAGAAUUCUCUGGCCAGAGUGUGUCAACAUAUUUAGUAUGUUGAAAAUGAUCAUUAGAGAAAACUAAUAAGUAUCAAGGAACAAGAUGUAAUUAAAUUGAUUGGACAGUUGAGAUAUCGAUUUAAUUAAUGAUGUGGUACAAAAGAUUGUGCAGUAAAAAAAUCAAUGUGGCUUGGGACGAGUUAUUAUUCGAGCAUACAAUUAUGGAAGUCAGUUCCAAUCUUUUAGUGGAGUAGAUUUGGAAUUAAAUAAUUGGGCUAGUUUAAUUACAGGCCUAAUUAUUGUAGCCACUAUUGUAUGUUCCCAAAUGAUCCCCGGGUUAGCUCAUUUAAUUGAGUGCACCACUACUGGAUUAAUAAGCAAGAUAACUAGCUAUUUGGGACAAAAGCCUAAAUAUAUCAUUUAGUGGGAGCCUCCAUUUAAUUAGCUUGUGUGUAAGGGGCCUAAUGUUAUUUUACAAGGUGGGUCCCCUAUAGAAAAAGCAAGUAACGUGAUUUUUGUUUUUGAUUAUUUGGAGCCUAGGAUUUUCACUAAAGCGAGAUAUAAAAAGCUUAUUUUCUCUAAAGAAAAGAGAUAGCAGCCACUUUAUACAGAUCAGAGAAAAAUAUUUUUCUCUCUAUUGUUGAGAGAAAAAUUUUCUCGUGCUAGUUGCUUUGGUAGUGAUAAAGGCGCCCACACGUCAAGUGCAGAUCAAACCUGAGUCAUAACCUGGAAGAUCAUUGGUGACAGUUCGUGAUCUAACAAGCGUGGUGGUGACGGAUCGUGAUCUAACAGACGUAGUGGUGACGGAUCGUGAUCUAGAAGCCUAAAUCACUUCAGCGGAAAAAUUUAAAUCGGAUUUUCAAGGUACGAUUUCUAGAUUACAUAUUCUUAUAUAUUAUAUGAGAACGAUCUUAAAAAGGUUUUAUAAAAAAUUUAAAAAACUGAUAUUUCCCCAACAAUUGGUAUCAGAGCCAUCUCGUAUUAAUAUAUGAAUAAAGCGUGUUUAUGAUUUGUAUUAAUUCAUGGUUAGAGGGGUGGUUUUUUAUCAGCAUGUUUUUCUCUUGAUUUAGUUUACUGUUAUAAAAAUUUUGAAAGCCAAAAUUGGCGUAGAAAAUUUGUAAAUCACUGAAGAAUAAACACUGGAAAACGAACUCAAAGAAUCGAGGCUGGAUUUUUCAGCGGCGGCCACCAACCAGCAACACAGCAGCGCACAGCAGCCAGCGCGCGCGGGAAGCGUGCCUUGUGCCUGCAACGAGUGCUGGCACAGGCUGCUCAUGCAGCAAACAGCGCGCGUGGCCAGCGUGGCCAGCAGCGCGCGCGAGUUUGGUGCAUUUUUGGCGACGCGACGAUCGAUGGUUCGGUGUUAGAGAUGCGUCGGAGGUCGGCUGGCGUCUGAACAGUGGCAGAGGUUUUUGGAGAUGGUGGCUGGGGAAGAAGGGUAAGAAAAAUAUGGAUUUUAGGGUUUUAUGGUUUUUAUCAUUGAGGUCCCUAGAGUUCCAUAAUUAUUUCCUUUGAGCAGUCAAGUUUUAAUUUUUUGCAUUUAAGUCUAAAAACAGUUUUGGGCUUAAAGAAUCCUAGUUUUAGGCUCAAUUGAAAUUUGGGUUUAAUGGAUUAAAAUGCAUAGAUAAAAUUGAACACAUUAAAUCUAUUUUUGGUCCAAAAGUUUUAUUUUAAUAAAAAAAAUUUAAUUAUUUCCUUUCAAAAUUAAAAUUGGACCAAUUAUAAAUUUAAAAGCCUAAUUUCCUCUAGUCCAUUAACAAAGACAAGCUUAUGGAAGAUGAACAUUUACAAGAAGCCCAAUGAAGAUUAGGCUUAUGGUUAAUGUAUUUUUCAUUAUUAGGAAAGCCAUGAAUUAAGAUUAUUUAAUUAUUUUUCUAUAUGUUAUGUUUUGGAUAUUAACAUGUCAUGUAGAAUAGGUAGUGCCACUAUGCAUAAUGAUACAUGUCAUUCUUUAAUAAUAAAUCUCAUUAUAUUGUUUGUGAUUUGUCUAUGCUUAAUAAUAUUGGAUAUCAUCUAGAUAAUAUUAUAGGAAGCAUGCAAUUAACAAUAUGUAUGUUUUAAAAAGGAAAAAUCAAUUUUAAAAUAUUGAGUGGGAGAGGGAAAAUUCAAGAUAAUUUUUCCCACGGGCUUCAUUUUACUUCAAUAAUAAAAUUAUAUAUAUACCUCGACUUCAUGAUACGGUGAUGCUCCCUACAGAGGGUAUAUAUAUUAGAUAUUUUAUUUGUUGAAUUUCUUCAAAGAUAAAAUUAAAAUAUUUUUCAAUCGAUUGUUCGCCCUCACGGUGACUAUUGAUAUGAAAAAUACGUAGAUUGAAACAAUGGUUAUACACUCAACUGAAAUUUGUUAUUAACCUUCCCAACGAAGCUCUGUUAACAAAUUUAGGCCCAAAGGGAUAACGAUAAUUAUUUAUCAUGUCUCGACAUGAAAGUAAAUAAUUCAUUGGAUAAUUGGGUCUAGUAAGUGUAGACAUGACUUCCCCAACGGAUAGCUUGUCAAAGCGGUACUAGAUUAUCGUUACAAUAAAUUAAAAUACAUUUAUGAGUUUUUUUUUGCAUUUUUGUCAUUUAUUGUGAAUAUUGUUUCAAAGUAUUUAUGCAUGUUUAUUUUGUUUUUCCAGAAAAUGUCUUCCAUCAACCCAUUAUUAAUUAUCCUUGUUAAAAAUGAACUCACUGGCGAAAAUUAUUUAGAUUGGAAACGCAAUCUAUUUAAUAUUCUCACUGCUAAGGGCUGCAAAUAUGUGUUGACCUAGCCUUGUCCUCCUGAACCAUCAUUAUACGAUUAUAGAAAUCAGAGGGAGCCUUAUGAGAAAUCGUGUGAAGCUAACAAAAUGGCUAAGCACUAUAUAUUGGAUUCGAUUUCUGUGGAACUACAUAAGAAACAUCGGAGCAUGGAAACAACCACUGAAAUAAUGGCUAGUCUUCAUCAGAUGUUUGGGCAAAGUACUCAUUUUGCUAGAGAAGCAGCAUUAAAACGUAUUACAGAUACUAAGAUGGAAGAGAGCACAAAAGUUCGUGAUCAUGUCCUCAAAAUGAUGGACUAUUUGAAUGAGGUAGAGAUUCAUGGUGCUCAAAACAAUGAUAAAUCAAAAAUUAAUAUGGUGAUUGAAUCUUUACCUAAUACAUUCAAAGAGUUUAAGGUCAGUUAUAUCUUAAACAAUAAAGAUAUGAACUUAAUUGAAUUAAUGCACGAACUACAUGCUAUAGAAGAAUUUUAUCAUAGCAGAAAACUUCCUGAAAAAGGAUUCUCUUCAAGGCUUAAGUCGAAAGACAAGAAUGAGCAAGCAAGAGUUAGGAUCAGCAAACUAUCCACUAAAAGAAGUGGCAAAAGGCAAGUGUUACAAAUGUGGACAGAAGGGUCACUCGAAGAAAGAUUGUCCUAAGAUUAUUAAAAUCAGGAAACCAAGAGAUUAAGUGAAGAAAGCUUCAAACAACAGUUGAGGACAUGCUAGUUUAUAUCAAUUGAAAGGCUAGAUCAAUUUUACAAGACUUAAAAGUUUUGAUAUUUGUCUUUAUUUUUCCAAAUACUAGAGGAAUUUAAUUUCGGUGACUUGUUUUAAUAAACAGGAGUACACUGUUAUUUUUUGAUCCACUGUCAUUUAUUUAUUUUAGUUAUUUAUAAAGACAAUUAAUAUCAUAUAAAUCCAUUGAUCUAUUCAAAGCAAGAUAUAAUGAUAAAGAGUAUAUGCAUUUAUCUAAGAAAAGAAAUGUUUCUUCAAACCAAAAUCACCUCUGAUAUUUAGGCUUAAGUCAUAUAAACUAUAAUAAGAUUUUAAGAAAAUGAUUAAUGAUAGACUUGUUGGCCUAUUAAGAUUGAUCAUUGUAGCUCUAUAAAUCUUAUUUAGAAAAGUAAUAUGACGAGAAUGCUCAUUUAGAGCUAAAAGCAUAACAUUGUAUUUAAUGAUUUAGCGCAUACAAAUAUAUAUGGACUAAUCAGUUUACAUGUUAUAAGAGGUUAUGAGUAUUCUAUCAAUCUUGUUGAUGAAUAUUCAUUUUACUUAUGUUUGUCUAAAUGCGUCAUGAUUCCAUUGCUUUUGAAAUUCAAAAGAGUACAUGGAUAAGACAAAAGCAAUUAGACAGGAACAUAAAAGAACUUCGAUAUGAUCGAAACAAAGAAUAUCUCUAUGGAGAAUUCAAGCACUAUUUGGUUGUCAAUGAACACUAGAGAAACAAGAUUCUUUUGGAUAAAACAAGAUAUAUACUAAGUGGUUUAUCAUUUACCUUUUUUAUUCCAGAUACUAAUAUUUAAAACUACAAAGUUUAUUGAACUUAGUUUCAUCUAUCUCGGUAUCUACUACUCCAAGAAAUUAUGAAAAAGUCACAAACUUGGUUUGAGACACAUUCGUAUUUGGAGUUUACUAGUAUUUCUACUAGAAUCAGAGGUAGAAAAGAUGGAUUUGUGUUCAGAAGCUUGCAUGUUUAAGGUAUCGUAAUGGAAUAAGGGAAAGUCUGAAUUAUAGUCCUCAAGAUAGGAAUGUAUUUGUGGACAUAUUAUUUACUUUCUUUGAGGAAGACUAUAUUAUGACUUCUUACCUAAGAGUAAGGUAAAACUAGAGAAAUAAAAAAGGUGAUCAAGUUGAUACUCAGCUUUCAAUGCCUGUUACAAAACAGGAAGAACAGCGACAACCAGAUGAUCAACACAGGAUUAUCCCUGAACAACCAUCACUUUUAGAACCUCGUCGUAGUGGGAGGAUAACUAAGUUACCUGCGAGAUAUAUGCUUUUGGGAGAAACCUAUACGGCUAUCUCAGAUGAACAUGUACAAGAUCUCACUAAUUACAACAAAGCUCUAAUAGAUAUAGAUGUUGAAUUUUGGAAAAAGACCAUCAAUCAAGAAAUGGAAUCUAUGUAUUCCUAUAAAGUCUGGGAACUUGUAGAGGCACCAAAUGGGAUAAAACCUAUAGGGUGCAAGUGGAUCUACAAGAGAAAAAGAGGAGUAAACGGAAGGGUGGAAACAUUUAAAGCAAGAUUAGUAACCAAAGGGUUUUACUUAGAAAGAGAAAUCGAUUAUGAGGAAACCUUUUCUCCGGUUUCUAUGCUUAAAUCCAUCAGGAUUCUGCUCUCCAUUGCUGUAGUGCUAGAUUAUGAAAUUUGGCAAAUGGAUGUCAAGACUGCCUUUCUUAACGGGCAUCUUAAAGAAAACAUCUACAUGCAGCAACUAGAUGGAUUUAUACAAAAAAGACCAAGAACACAUGGUUUAUAAGUUGCAGAGAUCCAUUUUUGGAUUGAAGCAAGCAUCCCGGUUAUGGAACAUCAGAUUUGAUCAACCGAUUAAAUCGUUUGGAUUCAUUCAGAACAUUGAUGAACCAUGUGUGUACAAGACAAUUCAAGAAAAAUCUGUAGCCUUCCUAAUUCUUUAUGUAGACGAUAUUCUCCUAAUUGGAAACGAUAUAGGAGUAUUGACUACAAUAAAAUUACUACGAGACCAGAAUAAUAAAACUUUAGCCUUGUCUCAAGCAGUCUAUAUCGAUAAGAUAUUGGCUAGAUUUAGCAUGGAAAAUUCCAAGACUGGUUUAUUACCAUUCAGACAUGGAAUUACAUUCUCUAAGGGUCAAUCUCCUAAAACAUCUGAAGAGAUAGAGAGAAUGAGAUGAGUUCCCUAUGCAGAAGCUGUGGGAAGUCUCAUGUAUGUCAUGCUUUACACUAGGCCAGACAUCUGCUUUGCGGUAGAGAUGGUUAAUAGAUAUCAAUCUAAUCCUGGACCUAAACACUGGACUGCGGUCAAGCAUAUAAUGAAGUAUCUGAAAAGAACUAAAAAUUAUAUGCUUGUGUAUUCUGGUGAUGAACUCAUUCUAGUGGGUUAUACUAAUUCUGACUUUAUGUCAAAUAAGGAUUCCAGAAAAUUAACUUCCGGCUAUGUGUUUACAUUGGGAAGUGGAGCUAUUAGUUGGAGGAGUGUGAAACAAUCUUGUAUCGCAGACUCCACAACUGAAUCUAAAUAUGUGGUUGUAUCCGAAGCUGCAAAAAAAGUUGUAUGGCUACGCAAGUUCCUACAAGAUCUUGAGGUGGUACUUGCUGUAACUGCACCCCUUAAACUAUUUUGCGAUAAUAGUGGUGCGGUAGCUCAAUCUAAGGAACCACAAGAAACAAAAACAUAUUGAGAGGAAGUAUCAUCUUAUAAGGGAAUAGUGUAGAAAUGUUAUAUGACAGUACCCCAGAUGGGAUUAGAUGCUAAAUGGCAGAUCUUAUUACAAUGGCCAUUAGUGGAAAACCUUUAUAACCUGCACUUAGAGCCCUAGAGCAUGUGCAAUAUGCCAAAUAUGCUUUAAGAGCUAUUCGGAGAUUGUUGGGAAAAUAUGCUCUUUAAAAGCAUAUGUGUUUAUUUAAUUGUAAUAAAUAAUUUUUCUGAUUAAUAAAAUAAAUGCGGUAUUUUAUUCAAAUAUCUUAAUUGCAUUAAUAUUUUUAUUAAAGUCCAUUUAAUCAUAUUAUAUGUAUUUAUGUAAUCACCAUGUGGAUUCACAUAAGACAUAAAUACAAGUUAUCUUAUGAUUAAAUAAAUUUAGUUCGCAAUUGAUAAAUAAAGUUGGGCACUUUAUUUAGGUAUAGACUGUAAUAAAUUAAUUGAAUAAUUUGUCUUAAUCAUGUAUGAAUUUAUUAAUGUAGUACGACUACAUUGAACAAGAUCACAUUUGAGAUUUAAUUAACUUUGUAAUAACUGUCAGACUUAUUAAAUCUCAUAGGCAUUGAUUUUACUGUAAUCUUAAUCUUGAGUUAAUUAUGAUUUCAUUAUUGUAAUUGUUAUUCCAUUUGAGUUACCAAUGGGCACGACACAUACUUGUUGUCAAGAUUACUCGGUAUCUUGGUGGGAGCAAUUAUAAGUAUUGGAGUUAUGGAUUAACAAUAUAGAAUUUGUACAACACAUCUCUUGAUGGGUUUUCGGCACUUGAUCAUAGAAUUCUCUGGCCAGAGUGUGUCAACAUAUUUAGUAUGUUAAAAAUGAUCAUUAGAGAAAACCAAUAAGUAUCAAGGAACAAGAUGUAAUUAAAUUGAUUGGACUGUUGAGAUAUCGAUUUAAUUAAUGAUGUGGUACAAAAGAUUGUGCAGUAAAAAAAUCAAUGUGGCUUGGGACGAAUUAUUAUUCGAGCAUACAAUUAUGGAAGUCAGUUCCAAUCUUUUAGUGGAGUAGAUUUGGAAUUAAAUAAUUGGGCUAGUUUAAUUAUAGGCCUAAUUAUUGUAGCCACUAUUGUAUGUUCCCAAAUGAUCCUCAGGUUAGCUCAUUUAAUUGAGUGCACCACUACUGGAUUAAUAAGCAAGAUAACUAGCUAUUUGGGUCAAAAGUCCAAAUAUAUCAUUUAGUGGGCGGCUCCAUUUAAUUAGCUUGUGUGUAAGGGGCCUAAUAUUAUUUUACAAGGUGGGUCCCCUAUAGAAAAAGCAAGUAACGUGAGUUUUGUUUUUGAUUAUUUGGAGCCUAGGAUUUUCACUAAAGCGAGAUAUAAAAAGCUUAUUUUCUCUAAAGAAAAGAGAUAGCAGCCACUUUAUACAGAUCAGAGAAAAAGAUUUUUCUCUCUAUUGUUGAGAGAAAAAUUUUCUCGUGCUAGUUGCUUUGGUAGUGAUAAAGGCGCCCACACGUCAAGUGCAGAUCAAACCUGAGUCAUAACCUGGAAGAUCAUUGGUGACAGUUCGUGAUCUAACAAGCGUGGUGGUGACGGAUCGUGAUCUAACAGACGUGGUGGUGACGGAUCGUGAUCUAGGAGCCUAAAUCACUUCAGCGGAAAAAUCUAAAUCGGAUUUUUAAGGUACGAUUUUUAGAUUACGUAUUCUUAUAUAUUAUAUGAGAGCGAUCUUAAAAAGGUUUUAUAAAAAAUUUAAAAAAUCGAUCUUUCCCCAACAUAUGGAACCAUGCUAAAGGGCUUUAUUCAAACAAAGUCGCAUGGCCGUUGGCAAUUAAAAUACUUUAUCAAUUAAGUUAAGUAGUAAGAAUUGGAUUGUGGAUUCUAUUAAUUAUUUCAAGGAAAAUUUUAUAGAUAAUGGUGUAAUGAAAUUUACGUCAUCAAUACCAUGAUAAAUAUAAAUAUUGUAAAUUACAAAUAGAAUUAGUAAAUGUAAAGUAAAACCAGUAAAUUUAUAAAAGAUUAUUAAUUAUUUAAAAAAUUAACAUUGUUUCUAGAUAAUUUUAGUGAAAAAUAUUUUAUUCAUUUAAAAAAAUUCUUUAAUUAAACAAAAAAAAUCAUUAAUUAAAUAAAAAAAAUUAUACUGAAACACAAAAGUGGAAUAAAUUUAAUUGAAUUGGUUACCAUAAAUUCUAUAUUUAGUCUAGGACAUUUGUAUACAUUUUUUUCCCAUUUUCUAUAAUGAUAUCGAUUUAUUACACAUGUUAAUUAAGUGCAAUUAUUUAUCUUGAUGUGGAUCAAGUAAAUAAAAAAAAGAGAUAUCAAUAAAAUUAGAUCUAAUUUUGAAUAUUAUGUAUACUUUAUGUAGUUUCAAACUUUUUACUUGUAUUUGGAGACCAUUUAAGGUUGUUGUUGAAGAAGUGUAGAAAGAUGUAAAAUAACCUCAUCUUACAACAACUAAGAAAGAUAUUAAAAUAUUAUUUUUUUCAAAAUCCGAUUUUGAGCAAAAAUUUCAUCCUUAAUUAAACAUCACAUGUAUUAUAGAAAUGCAAAACUACCAUUAUUAUAUUUAAAUUAAAAAAUAAUAAAUAUAUAAGGUAAUAAACAUUAUAACGAGUUUUUAUUUUAAAAUUGUAAACUUUUGUUUCUGACAAUAACUCUUAUAUUAAUUUAUUUAUUUUACCUUUUAUUCAUAAGUUUUAUGCAUAAUCUACAAACUUUAUGUUUUAUUUUGCAUUUAAUGUUGAUUUACUUUUUUUAUAUUAUACUUAUAAGUUUUCAUUUUAUUUACCAAUAAUACAUUAAUUUAUCAGUUUUAUAGUAAUUUACUUAUUUUACCUUCCUUUUACAAUUCUUAUGUUUCAUUUCCAAAGUUUAUGUUUUAUUUUACAGUUGUUGAUGAUUUACUAGUUUUAUGUUAUGUUUGGUAAUAGAUUAAUGGGUAAUUUUUAAUUGAGUCCUCAUUAGAUCUAGAAAAAAAAAUUCAGAGACCAGAAGUUUACUAAAUGAAUCCAUUAAAGUCUUUUAAAUACAAACUAAUGUCAUUCAAGUCCUUAACUUAAUUGCUCUGUUAAAAAUACUAACAACGUUGAGGACAUUUUAGUAAAACAACAAUUGAGUUGUUUCUCAUUCUUGAUUUUUGACAGGUAGAAAUAGUUUAAAGUAAACUCCAUUAACUUGAUUAAGUUAAGGAUCAGUUCUUUGAAAUGAAAAAAAAAAACCUACAGAAACUGCCAUAUUCUUCGUGUGAGAGGAGAGAUCGAGAGAAUGUGGGAUGGUGCAAAAAAUGUUGUAUAAAUCUACUGUGAUUUUGACCAAGGCUUUGGUAGCAUUGAUUGAGUUCAAGUACUGGAGAGAACCUGAGUUUAAAGGUUAGUAACUCUAUUUUUUUAGUGAUUUUUGCAAACAUUUUCUGAUAAAAGUUUUUCCAUAUUGAGUGAUCGUUGUGAAAAAUUAGGUUUUUCAAGUCUAUUUUUCAAAAUGACAAACUAUGUUUAAUUAUUGGUGGAUUCUUUUUUUGUUCAAUGUUGUAUUUUCUUAAUUUGUUGUUUUUAAUUUGCUCUUUAUGUAAUUGUUAGACGAAAUACACUAUAUUGGUAUCGUUAUAUUAAUAAGAUUGAAUUCAUUGUAUUUGCUUCUUUGUUCAUGUAAAAUUGAAUUCUAUUUGUUCUUAUGAGUGAUAAUUUUUCUAUCUAUUAGACUAAAUUCACUAUAUUCACUACUUUCUUUCUUUUUGCUGGGCUAUUUUUUCUUUUUAGUUUAUAUUUUUUAUAUGUAUUAGAUUGAAUUUGUUUUUGUACUUUUUUUAGCCGAAUUACAUGUAUAUUUCAUUUAGGUUGAGUUUUUUUGUUGUUUGCUAAAUAAAAUUAUAUUGGUUUAUCCUUUUUUGAUGCAAUACUUUUUGUUUUAAAUUGAUGCAGGUAGCCAUGUUACCUUUUGUUUCGAUUAAAAUUAAUGGGGUGAUGUAUGCGAUAGAAUAUAGGGAACCAGAGGAAUAUAAGAUUAUUAGGUUGUUUUUUGAAAUUCAAGAUGUCAUGGUUAAGCAUGGACAUAGUGAAAUGGAUUUGAUUGAAAUUUAUGUUGUAUUGCCAUGGACUACAAGUAGGCAGAGGAAGCUAAGUUCAAAUAAUAGUGAAUUGUAUUGGUGUUCGAGUUUUUUUUAUCAAUAGUUGUCCUGUCAUUGAGUUUGAGGUGCACACUGGGUCAGGUGGUCAGUCAUUUCAUGAAAGUGUUGUAAUAGGAUCUGAAAAUCCUGUCAAUAUAGGUGUUAGUGUUGUAAUAGUGAUAAGUUUGAAAAUCCUGUGGCUAAAAAGGGUCUGCCUAGAAUAAUUGGUACUUCUUUAUUUGCCUCAAAGUCCAACACUAUAAAAUCCACUACGAAAAAGAAUUUAUCCACUUUAACCAGCACAUCUUCAAUCCUGCCUUCAGGAUAAGCAUGAGAUAUGUCAGCACAUUGCAAUGUCACUGUGGUUGGUCUGACUUCUCCAACUCCGAAUUGCUUGAAUUCUGAUAAUGGCAUAAGAUUGAUGCUUGCUCCCAAAUCACAAGGUGUCUUGGGGUAAUUUUUAGGGACCUCCCCUGAGGUUUGGUGUAUUAAUACUUAAAUAGAAUGUAUCCAUGUGCCAUUAGUUACUAAUUAGGUUGACCGUUAGUAGACAUUCAAAAUUAGUGAAAUAUCCUUCUUACUGAAAUAAUAAAUUAUUAAAUAUAGUUUUGAGAAAUCCAUUGGCAGUGAGGAUUCCGUUGAAAAUCCAUUUCAACAAAAUGGAUGUUGGUGGUGUGAAAAAGUGUGCUACCUGGUUUGGGGUUGUUUGAUGGAAUGGACAACAAUGAUAUGGAACCAUCACUGUCCUCUGGUUGUUGCUUCGCUGGCCUCCUCGAAAGUGAGCAAAAAUGGUUCAAAGUCUCACACACCACAAGCGCCAUAGCUAUGCCACCAAGUCCAACCAGCACCGCGUCGUCAAAACCCUUGGGGGGAAGCUGCUUUACUAGAGAACCAAGAAGAGAGCAAGUGAGCCUAAGUGUCCUGUCACUGGAAAAAGGAUCCAAGGAAUUCCUCACUUGAAAUAAAUUAUUAAUUUUCUUAUGAAAUUUUGACUUGUAUGAAUUAUUUAUAAUGGCAUUUUGUGCCGUUCUAUUUAAAUGUGAAUGGGUAUUCGGUUUUUUCUUCGAAGUUUCUUUACCCAAAAAAAAAAAAUUGUAACCAUCACCGUCGGCAGAAAUUGUGGCAGUGGCAUGUGGCAUGACAAGCCGCCUGCGAGGGUUUUGUGAUUUGUGUGCAAUUGGGUUUUGGGAUGUCAGAGGUUGCGACGUGGUAUUGUUGAGUGUUAGAAAAUGCAUAUUUAUAAAGGAGAAAACCAUUAUUUUACAUUUUAAGUCUUACUAACAACCCUUACUUUUAUGUUUUUAACAUUCUUGUGAUUUAAUUACGUGUGUUUUAUUUUAAUUAAGUAAUUUAUGUAUUUUAAGGGCAUUAUAGUCAUUUCACAAUAAAGGAGAGAUCAGACGGCAAAACGGACAUCACUUUUGUACUCAGGACGGUCAAAAACCUUAAGAGGAGCAUAAAAAGAAAAAUGGCACUAUUCACAUGUACGGUACUGUAUACGUUACUGUUCACGACACUGUUCACAUAGACGGAUGAUGAUGUGGCAUUGACCGAUGAUGUGGCAUUGACUGAUGAGGUGUCACGAUCCUGUUGGACUAAAAUUCUUAUGUACUGUUGAUGGUGACGUGGCAGCAUAUCAGUGGACGAAAAAUCUCGCGUACGGUGCAUGCAUCACACAGGAUUAUUUUCAACCAAACUGCGUUACUGUUCAUCCGGGUCAAACCGCGUUACUGUUCAAAGUCAGGUCAAACCGUGUUACUGUUCAUCCGUGUGGUCAAACCGUGGACUGUUGACUGAUGACGUGGCGCAAUCCUGAGCGUCCAAACUGUUUUUAAUCCGAUGGCCAUGAUUUACUCCAUGUAUCUAUAAAAAGGGGGCCUCUCCCCCCUAAUUUGAUAUCUCUGAAUCCAUUUUUGGGAUCCAUUUUCUGUAAUUCCCUCUCCAUCUUGUAUUUUUUUCGUAUUUUAAUAAAUUCUCAUUUUGCCCUUAGUUCAAUUAUGAGUGGCUAAUUUUCUUUCAAGCUUGGGUUGAAGGUGAAGUCUCAACAUGUGUCAUGGGCUUUAUUUGGUAAAUUUAUUUUCUCUUCCCCUCUAGUUUUUGUGGAUGUUUUGACUUCUCGUCGACAAAUAAUACUAAUCUUGUCUAGUACCGCAUUGGUUUCACCGGCCCUCUAGUACAAGGUUAUUAUUAUUUGGCACGAUAAGCCCUUAGCACUAUAUUGAUUAGAGCGUGGUUCAUGAGGUGUGGAUUCCCCCCUCAUGAUUUAAUUGGCAUUAAUAAGGAUUAUUUAGCCCAUGAUGGAUGUUGAUACGGAUCUAGAUACCCAAGUACGUCAUUUUAAUAGAAUUCUCUUCAAUUUAUUCUCGUCAUUUCAAUUCCAAUUUUAGAAUUUAUUCUCGCCAUUUUAAUUUAAGUUUUAGCAUAUCCCAAAUCAUUUCCACCACAAAUCCAAUCACCCAUUUACAAAAUUAAUUCUACACAAUUAAAAUCCACCUCCUCGUGGGAUCGACACUCGUCACCAUUAGUUUAUACUACAAUAGAUUCGUGCGCUUGCGAGUACAUUAAAAUUUGCACAACAGGUUUUUGGCGCCGUUGCCGGGGAGGUAAGUAAUUUUAAUUCAUAGAAUUAAUGUUUGUGAAUAAUUUCUUUUAUUUUUUUUAUUGUAUUUUUUUUAUUAUUAAAAAAAAGUGAAUCCGCAUUUAGAGGUUAGUAAUUUCUUUUCUUUUUCUCUUCUUUAAAUUUCUGUAAUUUAAUUUUCAAGUUAUUUUUUUUUCUUUGUAAUUUUUGUUUAUCUUACUAAUUCUUUUUAGUUAAUUUAUUUCCCCUAUUUGUUUUUGUGUAUUUUUAUACAAGUUUGUAUAGCGCAAUAAGGUUAGUAUCGUAAUUUCUCCCUUUUCUUUAUUUUUAUUUGUUUUGUUCCCAUCUUUAUUUUUAUUUUAUUUAUUUUGCAUGUAUGGUCGUAGGUCAUUAUUACCUAAUCUUGAACCUAUAGACCUUGAACUUGAGAAAACACUUCGCACACACAAACAAGUAAAAAAUAAAAUGGUUUUGCAACCACAGGAGAGACCAUUUAAAGAUUAUUUCAGUCCUUUAGCAAAUUUGAGCACAUCAUGUAUAAGAUACCCAAAUGUAGUUGCUAGGAGCUUUGAAUUAAAACCUAGUGUGCUAAAUUGUCUCCCCACAUUUUAUGGCCUAGAAAAUGAGGACCCAUAUAAUCAUCUGAAUGAUUUUCAUGCCAUUUGUCAAACUUUUAAAUAUGAAAAUUUUUCAGACGAUGAUGUUAAACUUACAUUAUUCCCAUUUUCUUUAAAGGAUAGAGCUCGUUCAUGGUUAAAUACUUUACAUGCUAAUAGCAUUUCAUCAUGGGAACAAAUGGUAACUAAAUUUUUGAAUAAAUAUUUCCCAGUGCAUAAAACCAAUGCUAUUCGUAGGGAAAUCUCGGAGUUUACCCAGAGAGAGGACGAGCAAUUUUUCGAAACAUGGGAGCGAUUCAAUGGGCUACUCUUGAAGUGUCCACAUCAUGGGUACGAGAAAUGGCACCAAUGUCAAUACGUUUUGAAGGGAUUACUACCGAAUGUGCAAGAAUGGCUAAUGGCAACGAGUGGAGAAGAGCUAAUGUCAAAAAGUGCAUUAGAGAUUUGGGAAUUCUUCCAGCGACAAGCAGAUAAUUCCUAACAACGGAGUCGAUCACUCAGGACUACUAGAAGAAUUAAAGGAGUGAAUGAGGUUCAAAUUGGCGAGUCAACUUCGGGAAUCAAAGAAGUUAAGGAGAUGGUUGAAGGUCUUGCUCGACAAAUAGCAUCGUUAUCGACUGCAAAAUCAACAGAACCACAUGACCAUGACUCAUAUCCAGACCAAGCCAAUGCCAUAGGUAUAAUGAGAAAGCCAUCAAAUUACAACCCAUACUCCAAUACAUAUAACCCUGGAUGGAGAGACCACCCCAAUUUUUCAUGGUCUCAAGGAUUCCAACAGAAUGGACCAACAGCUCCAGCUCCACCAAUGCAACAAAUUCCUCAAGCCUCUCAGCCCCCAUUUAGACCAUUCAAUCAGAAUCAGAACUACUCUCAACCCAGACCAUGGGAGGAUGCAUUCCAGAAUCUCAAAAAUGUUACUCACUCCAUGAUUGAGCAACAGAACCGUACCAUUGAUGGACUACGAAAUGAGUUGAGAGCAGGCUUCAACUCACAAGCUCAAUCAGUUUUAAGCCUCGAGAAGAUGGUGGGACAACUUGCUUCUUCAAUUCAGACCUUGGCAAUGACUGUUGAAAAAGGAAAAUUUCCAAGUCAACCAGUGCCUAAUCCUAAAGGAGUACAUGAAGCAAGUACCAGUUCACCACAGCAGCAUGGAGAGGUCAAAGCAGUCAUGACUUUGCGAAAAGGAAAAGAAGUCGACAAUAAAGUGGAGAUGCCGGUGACAAAAGAAAAUCAAAUUGUACCUGUGAAUGUUGAUGACUCAUCACCGGAGGAGAAAAAAGAAACUAACCCACAAGAAUACGUUCCCAAAGCUCUAUUUCCUCAAAGGUUAGCUAAAGGAAAGAAAGGAAAAUCCACAGGUGAGAUUCUUGAAAUCUUCAAACAGGUAAGUGUUAACAUUCCUUUGCUAGAUGCUAUUAAACAAGUUCCAUCUUAUGCCAAGUUUCUUAAAGACCUUUGUACUAAAAAGAGAAAUAUGCAUGUUCAAAAGAAAGCAUUUUUAACAGAAAACGUUAGUUUUAUACUCCAACAUAAAAUUCCUUUAAAAUGCCAAGACCCAGGCUCCCCCACUAUCUCAUGUAGUAUAGGGAACCACACAAUUGAGAAUGCUUUGUUGGAUUUAGGAGCUAGUGUAAAUCUUUUGCCUUACUCUGUAUUCGUGAAACUUGGACUUGGAGAAUUACACCCAACUCCAGUGGUGUUACAGCUUGCAGAUCGGUCCACAAAAAUACCUCGUGGUAUUGUGGAGGACGUGCUUAUCCAGGUAGACAAGUUUUAUUUUCCUGUUGAUUUCAUUGUAAUCGACACUCAACCAAUACAGGACUCGAGGAAGCACAUCCCCAUUAUUCUAGGCCGACCUUUCUUGGCAACUGCGGAUGCUCACAUUCAAUGCAGGACUGGAAAUAUGUAGUUGUCCUUCGGCAACAUGACUAUGGAGCUAAACAUUUUCAACAUUGCCAAACAACCUCACAGUGCAGAUGAUGGAAUUGUUGAUGUGGAUUUAAUUGAAGCAUUAGUUGAUGACACUUUUCUUUCAAACCUUAGUGAUGAUCCUUUACAAACAUGUUUAACUCACUUUGGUUUGGAUUUUAAUAUUGACAAAUCGGUCGAAGAGUUCAAUGCCCUACUUGACUCCGCACCAUCCAUGGACACUAAUAAAUGGAAGUCAAGAGUUGAACAACUAGCACCAUCAGAGAAGAAACUCAUCCCAUCAUCAGAAUCACUACCAAAACUCGAGCUCAAACCAUUGCCCAACACUUUGGAAUAUGCGUUUUUAGGAGAAGAAAGCACUCUAUCGGUAAUCAUCUCAUCAUCCCUAAACGAUGAACAAAAAGGUAAGUUAUUGGAUAUUUUAAAAGAGCACAAAGGAGCAUUAGGAUGGACCAUAGCAGACAUAAAAGGUAUAAAUCCAGUAGACUGCAUGCAUUACAUUCACCUUGAUGAAAAUGCUAAAUCUACUAGGGAAAUGCAACGUCGGUUAAAUCUUAAUAUGAAAGAAGUUGUUAGAACAGAAGUCCUUAAGCUAUUAGAUGCAGGUAUCAUUUACCCCAUUUCUGAUAGUUCAUGGGUUAGUCCUGUGUAAGUUGUCCCCAAAAAGUCAGGAGUCACUGUAGUUACCAAUGCCGAUAAUGAAUUGAUACCCACUAGAGUGACUACAGGAUGGCGUGUAUGCAUUGAUUAUAGGAAGUUGAAUUCUGUCACACGUAAAGACCAUUUUCCUUUACCAUUUAUUGAUCAAAUGCUUGAUAGAUUAGCAGGUCAUGAAUUUUAUUGCUUUCUAGAUGGCUACUCAGGAUACAAUCAGAUCCCCAUAACACCAAAAGAUCAGGAGAAAACUACUUUCACUUGCCCUUUUGGUACAUUUGCAUAUAGGAGAAUGCCAUUUGGAUUAUGCAAUGCACCUGCUACAUUUCAACGAUGCAUGUUGAGCAUUUUUUCUGAUAUGGUUGAACGAUUCCUUGAAGUCUCUAUGGAUGACUUUUCUGUCUUUGGUGACUCGUUUGAUCAAUGUUUACAUCAUCUAACACUAGUUCUGCAGAGAUGUAUCAAGAAGAACUUGAUCUUAAAUUGGGAGAAAUGCCAUUUUAUGGUAAAACAAGGUAUUGUUCUCGGUCACAUCAUUUCGAGCAAAGGUAUUGAGGUUGACAAAGCCAUCAUUUCUAAUCUUCCUCCACCUAAAACAGUCAGAGAAGUAAGAUCUUUCCUUGGGCAUGCUGGUUUUUAUAGACGUUUCAUUAAAGAUUUUAGCAAAGUUUCUAGACCCUUAUGCAAUUUACUUCCUAAGGAUGUACCUUUUAUCUUUAAUGAUUCAUGUCUUGUGGCUUUUGAAAAAUUAAAGCAGUUGUUGACAUCAUCACCCAUUAUUCAGGCCCCGAACUGGAGCUUACCAUUUGAACUCAUGUGUGAUGCAUCUGAUUAUGCAGUAGGAGCAGUAUUAGGACAAAGAGUUGAUCGAAUUCCCCAUGUUAUUUAUUAUGCUAGUAUGACAUUGAAUGAUGCACAGUUGAACUAUUCAACUACUGAAAAAGAAAUGCUAGCAGUAGUGUUUGCAUUGGAGAAAUUUCGUUCUUAUCUCAUUGGUUGUAAAAUAAUCGUGUUCACAGAUCAUGCUGCUCUUAAAUAUCUUCUCACAAAGAAAGAUGCAAAAGCUAGACUAAUUCGUUGGGUGUUACUUUUGCAGGAAUUUGACUUGGAGUUCAAAGAUAAGAAAGGGACAGAAAAUGUUGUGGCAGACCACCUCUCUCGUCUCCAUUUUGACACAAUUACAGAAUCAUUACCAUUGAAUGAGUCAUUUCCAGAUGAACAAUUAAUGAAUAUGGACGUAUUACCUUGGUAUGCUGAUAUAGUUAAUUAUCUUAUUACAGGUAAACUUCCAGAGCAUUGGACCAACCAAGACAAGGCUAAAUUCUUUGCAGAAAUAAAGAAUUUCUUUUGGGAUGACCCGUAUUUGUUCAAGUAUUGUGCAGACCAAAUUGUUAGACGAUGCAUCCCAGAAAGUGAAAUUCAGAAUAUCCUUUCAUUCUGCCAUGAACAAGCUUGUGGAGGCCAUUUCAGCGCUAAGAAAACAGCGACUAAAGUUUUACAAUGUGGUUUCUAUUGGCCAACUAUAUUUCGAGAUGCUUACACUUUCUGUUCUUCAUGUGAUAGGUCUCAACGAAUGGGGAGCAUUACACGAAGGAACAUGAUGCCACUAAAUCCAAUUUUAGUGGUUGAGAUUUUUGACGUAUGGGGUAUCGACUUCAUGGGACCCUUUCCCCCGUCUUUUGGCCAUCAAUACAUAUUGGUUGCUGUUGACUACGUAUCCAAAUGGGUAGAAGCAAUUCCAUGCAAAACUAAUGAUCACAAGGUGGUGAUAGUAUUUUUGAAAAGCAACAUUGUUUCACGCUUUGGAUUCCCUCGAGCGAUAAUCAGUGAUGGUGGUGCCCACUUUUGUAACAAAGCAUUCAAGGCUCUUUUGACAAAGUAUUCAAUCACACACAAAGUGGCGACUUCGUAUCAUCCGCAAACCAGUGGCCAAGUUGAGAUCUCCAAUCGAGAAAUAAAGCACAUAUUAGAAAAGACGGUGAGGCCAGACAGAAAAGAUUGGCCAUUAAGACUUGAUGAUGCCUUAUGGGCAUAUAGAACGGCUUUCAAGACCCCGAUUGGGAUGUCACCCUACAGGCUAGUGUAUGGAAAAGCUUGCCACCUACCUGUGGAACUCGAGCAUCGUGCAUAUUGGGCCAUCAAGAAAUUCAAUUUUGACAUGCAGCAAGCCAGCUCAGAAAGAAAAUUACAGCUGGCAGAACUUGAAGAAAUUCGCAAUGACGCGUACGAAAAUGCCAAGAUUUACAAGCAACGAAUGAAAGUCUUCCAUGACAAGCAAAUUAUGAGAAAAUCUUUCACUCCAGGUCAGAAAGUGCUUUUAUUCAAUUCUCGCUUGCACCUAUUCCCAGGUAAGUUACGCUCUCGUUGGUCUGGCCCAUUUAUUGUUCAUACUGUUUUUCCAUAUAGGGCAAUUGAAAUUAAGGACCCAAAGAACGGUGUCACGUUUAAAGUUAAUGGUCAAAGAUUAAAGCCAUAUCUAGAAUACCAAUCAUAUGGAGAAGACACCGAAAUAAAUUUGAGUGACCCACCAGAUUUGAAUUGAUUUUUCUUUUCGUUGAUUUGAUUUUUCUUUCUUUCUUUAUAUUAUUCUUUUGCUAAUUGAAAUUAUUUUUGCAUAAGUAUGUUUGUUUAACUAGUAAGUUUUCUUUUAUCAUUUUUAAUCAUGAGUACAUUACUUAGACCGUUCCUCCUGAACAUUCUUAAACCACUUCAACGUGUCAAAACUCAUCUCAAAAGGCAGAUUCAAUUUUGUAAAACACAUCGCAUUUGGCUCUACAAUCACCAGAGUUAGUAGCCUAUGUUGAGGGUUUAGAAAGCCAACUCAGAGACAUUAAGAGAAGUGUUUACGACAUCCAGUUGGAGCUUGAGGUAAAUUCAAUAAGAGGACGGCUUUAAUUUUCUUUGUGUGUUUUAAUUUGUUUUUAUGUUUGUGUGCUUUAGUUUGUUACCCCGGUGAAGUGGCGGAUAACGGUACUCUGUGACAAUCAAGUCGGUUACUUCAGUUUCCCAUAAUAAUUGAUAUUCUGAGGCGAAAGUAUGGACAGAAACGAGAUUCUAGCGAAGCUUCACAAUUGAUUCCCUUCACUUCCUCAGAAUGCCCUCCUUACGAUCUAUAAAGCUCGGUCCGAACGCAUGCGAUUACUCAUGAGGAAUAACAUAUCUGCUGACAUCCGUUGGUUAACCGAGGCUAAAGUACGAUCGGCAGGUGAGUUACCUCCAAAAUUUAUUGCAUACAUGCCUGGUUGUGGUAAAGGAAAUUAUGCAAGAAAACGACGAGCUCGAAGAAUUUCUGUUGCUUGUCAUAAGUGUGCCAGAAUGAGUUGCAAUAAAAACCCAUGUUCUUUAGGAAUGGUGUCUGAUAACAGGGAAGAUAAGAUUCAAUUCAUUAGGGAUGGCUUGAAUAAGGAGUCAUUGGAUGAUAUCCUUUUGUCUCUUGAAACGCAUCCCAGUGGAUAUGUGCAAGGAGCGAUUCUCCAGUUAUGACCAUUAUUCUAGAAAGAGCAUGCACGAUAUAGUCUCGGGAAUCUGACUAUAAACGACCCUGUUUGCCAGUUUAUAAGAAAACUGGAUAGGAAGCCUAUCCUCGACCCAUAGAGGGCGUUCAAGCCGUUUCUGGACGUAAAACCAGAGGAAGAUGUGAGCCACAGUCGCAACUACCUGUAAAUAUCCUUUCACUUUACUGUUAUUUUAUUUCACUAUUGUUUUAUUGUGUGUAUUAUUGUCCUUAAUAAUUUUAUUACUGUUUAUUUUUUUCUUAUUACUGUUUACUUUUUCCUUUUUACUGUUUCCUUUUUGACUCGCGAGCCACGUGCUUUACGCAUUAUUUGACACUGACAUGUUACCUCAUACACAACUGUGACCCACUGUCACCAAGACUCUUAAAUGUGAUUUUUUUUUUCAAGCACUCACAAAUUGUUUUUCGAGAAGUAUCACAAUGGCAGCUACUCCAAAUAGACAAUUCAAGAACAUUUGUGUGCUUUCUGGAUUUACCUAUGGCAAACAUAAAGAGUUCGUUGAGGCAGCCAUCGAUCUUGGUCGAAGUAUAGCAGAGAGAAAAUUACACUUGGUGUAUGGAGGAGGUAACCGAGGGUUAUCAAAAAUGGUCUCUGAAGCAGCUUUUGUCAGAGGAAGUCAAGUGUUAGGCAUCAUCCCAAGAGUCUUAAAACCGUUGGGCAGUUCGUCUGACUCAUCAACUGGAGAAGAGUUAGUUGUCUCAGGUAUGCAAGAAAGAAUAACUGAAAUGCUUAAUCAUGCUGAUGCUUUUAUUUUCCUUCCAGAAGAUCUUGCAACACUAGAGGCACUUAUCACACUAGCAUCUUGGGCCCAUCUCCACAUCCACCAGAAACCCAUCGGUUUGUUAAAUGUCAAUAACUUUUAUGAUGGCUUUAUCGCAUUUCUUAACCAUGCAAUAAAAAACUAUUUCAUUCCCGCUAAUGUGAAAAAACUCUUUAUUUGUGCUCACACUGCUAAUGAGCUACUUGAUCUGUUACAAGCUUAUAGACCGGAGCCAGACCCCUGGACCUUUGUGUUGGAGCGUCCAAAUAAUGAUGGUAACAGUAGCAGCAGUAAGAAGUACAAAUUAGAUUUAACUCUCCACCUGUAAAUAUUUUCUUCUGUGUUGCACCACCCAGGUGAUGUCUUCUAAACUUUACUUCUUUCCUUUCAAACAUUGAGGACAAUGUUUCAUUCUGGUUGGGGGGAGGGAAUAGUCGACAAUUGUGGAAUCUUGGUUAGGUUUUUACUGAUUUUUUGUUGUAGAAACUAACUGUUGCUAACUUUUUGUGUUGAAGAUGGCUGAAUAUGGAGUAUAGUUACUCUAGAAACGCAUCUUCAUUGUUUGAAAAAAAAACAAAAAAAAAAUUUCAAAAAAAAAAUUCAAAAAAAAAUUCAAAAAAAAAAAAUUAGACAUUUUCUUUUUCUUUAUUAAGUUUUGAUGUUUAUUUUUCUUCUUUUUAAUUUCUCCUCUAUGAAUAUACAUUUUCCAACUUUUGAGUCGAAGAUUGCUGAAUAUGGAGUGUAGUGCCUCUAGAAACGCAUCUUCUUAGUAAAAAAAAAAAUCAUUUUCUUUUUCUAUCAUUUUAAGUGUACUUUUUCUAAUUUGUUUUUUUUUUUGCAUCAUUUUCACAUUUCUGCAUGCAUAUUUUUCUUUUAUGUUUAGAAUAGGUUGGGGGGUAGAAUGUUGUUUAAAAAAAAAUGUGUGGUUUGUUUUAACAUUGGAUGACAUGAUUAAUUUCAAAUUUUAGUAUUUGUAUUAUCUUUGGUCUUAAGUGAUGUUACAUUAUGUUUGCUACUCUACAUGUUGAUGUUGGAGACAAAUAUGAGUUGCUUGAAGGAAUGAACAUGUCAUAAUAAGUACCAAGUGAGUUUUUGAGCCUAUCAUUUUUCUUGGAGAGUAACCCUUUUGCCCAUUCUUUAUACAGCUUAACAGUUUAUUAUUGUAUACACGAUCUCUAUAUUUCUUUUGAGUUAACCCUUAAAAAAAAUUGUAAAACUAAAAAAAAAGAGAAAAAAAAGAAACAAAAUGUGUGUUGCUACAUUUGGAGGCCCAUCUAACUAGUAGAUAUGGAUGAUUAUUUAGAGCCCUAAAAGACGAUAGAAAGGCCAUCUUUGAUCCGUUUGAACCUUUCUAGCCAUCCCUUUUAUUAAAUAUCCAUAGUUAACCCUUUUGAGCCUUUAAAAAUAUAUAUAUAUAUAUUUUCUUUGUCAACUUAUCAUCUUGACCCACUCUGAUUUGGAGUAUUACCCGAUGCCUUAUAAGUUCCAUCACCUAUUUAUGUUUGAGAAAAUGUAAAUAAUUAUUUUGUUCAGUGAAGUUAUGCCAAAUAAAAGCAAAAAAAAAAAAAACAAAACAAAAGUUGUUGUUUCAAAAGAAUAAAAAUAACAACAAUAGGUGAAAUCCACCUCGCAUCUUCUUAAAAAAAAAAAAUCUCUGCAUUUUUCUCAAACAUACACUUUGUUUUCCUUAUUUCCCUUCUUUGUUAACCAUGUCCCUAGCUUACGUUACGUCCUAAUAAAAGUCCUUCUUGAUUUUAGGAAACUAUAGUCCGAAGUAGAAGCUAGUUAUAUGGGCUAAAAAGAUGUAGUGAUGCAUAAUUAAAAAAAAGAUAAACAAAGUGGGUUGACUAACAUUUUAUUUGACUUGAGAUCGUAUUAUUUCUAAGCUGAGGACAUAUUUAUUUCAUCUUGGUGAGAGCAUGUGAUAUCACUUCUUUAUUAUUUUCUCUCUCAAUUACCAUUCAUUGGAAUGACUAUUUUUAUUGGGUUUAAUUUAUUUGUGAGAGUGUCACUACUUCCAGUGAGAUUUUGGGGUUUGACAUGUCAUUCUUGAAAGUAGCUAUAACAAAGUCUACUAGGCUAAUUCAUGUGGAUGGUUGAUAUGGGUGUGAUAUUUCUUUAGACUGGAGAUAAUGCUUAUACUUUUAUUUGAUUGCUAUCAUUCAUCUGAUUGAAUAAAUAAGAGUGUUUCAAAAAAAAAAUCAUUUUGAAUUUGAAUUUUGUUUUCGCUUUAUUUGCUAGGGACUAGCAAUAAGCUGGUUAGGGGGUGUGUUGAGUGUUAGAAAAUGCAUAUUUAUAAAGGAGAAAACCAUCAUUUUACAUUUUAAGUCUUACUAACAACCCUUACUUUUAUGUUUUUAACAUUCUUGUGAUUUAAUUACGUGUGUUUUAUUUUAAUUAAGUAAUUUAUGUAUUUUAGGGGCAUUAUAGUCAUUUCACAAUAAAGGAGAGAUCAGACGGCAAAACGGACAUCACUUCUGAACUCAGGACGGUCAAAAACCUUAGGAGGAGCAUAAAAGGAAAAAUGGCACUAUUCACAUGUACGGUACUAUUCACGUGUACGGUACUGUAUACGUUACUGUUCACGACACUGUUCACAUAGACGGAUGAUGACGUGGCAUUGACCGAUGAUGUGGCAUUGACUGAUGAGGUGUCACGAUCCUGUUGGACUAAAAUUCUUAUGUACUGUUGAUGGUGACGUGGCAGUAUAUCAGUGGACGAAAAAUCUCGCGUACGGUGCAUGCACUUGGGUUAAUGUGUGUUGGUGGACACAGUUGAUUCAAAGGCUACUAUGAAUGGGGUUGGUCAUCGUCGUGAGGAGGGAACUCCAGCACUAGUAAAGCACCACCACCAACCACCGGUGGAGCCAUGAUCAACUGCUCAAGGGUGGGUCAACAGGGGGCAAGUGGUGGUCAAAAUUUUAUUGAUCUAGUAAAAGCAUACAUUUUCAGUUUUUAAUAUGUUUUUACACAUUUACCCUUCUAUACUGAUGUUAUACGUAUUUUCAUAUUAACGGCAGGGGAGGUAUAUGUAAUUACACGAAUACAUUCCAUCUAAGUGUUAAUACACCAAACCUCAGGGGAGGUCCCUAAAAAUUACCCAAGUGUCUUGCCACUGUAUUUAGUUCCUAUGGAACAAGGAAUUGUGAAACUUCCUGGAUCCUUCAACUUCUGAGGCAUUUUACUCUGAAGCAUAUGGCUGCAUUCUUGUGUUAGACCAACUAUUUCAAAUUCUCCAAGCCUCAUUUUCCUUACCAAUAUACAUUUUCAAAACUUUACAUAAUUUGGCAUUUAUUCUAAUGCUUCCACAAAAGGAAUGUUGAUAUGUAGUUGUUUCAAUACUUCCAAGAAUUUACUAAACUACUUGUCUUGCUUUCACUUCUGAAAUCUUUGUGGGAAGGGUGGUGGAUGUGUAAAUUGUUAUACUGCAGCAGACUGUACAGAUUGCUUUUCUCUUGCUCUAUUAUAGUUUGUUAUUGUUAGUGCUGUAGCUUCUUCCUCAACAAGCACUGAAUCAUGUUUUUCUGCAGUUGCUAUAGCUUGGCAACUCUCACCAGUGUGCUGGAAAAUGGGUUAUUGUGUCUCUUUUUUAAUUUGAGUUUCCCCUUGGGUUGAAUUAGGUUCAACUCUUCUUUUUGGUACUUUAACAAGAAUAUGAAGAUCUUUUCCAGACCUUAAGUUAAUCCCCUUACAAUGCUCGUUUCCUUCUCUCUUUGGAUCCUCUGUAUUGUUUAGUAAAUUGUCCUAAGGUAUGUUGCUCAAUGUUGUAGCAAGCUGUCCAAUCUUAUUCUCCAAGUUUCUUAAAAAUACAGGUUGGCUUUAGACCACUACUUCAAUCUUCACAAUAUACUCCUUAAUCAGAGUUUCAAGGGAACUAAAUUGAUCAUUACUGGUGUUUCUUUACCCUUAAAAUUGUUGGUGAAAACCAGGUGGCUGAGUAGGUCUUUUCUGUCCACUGGAUGCUGUGGCAUGCUGAUUCUGAUUGCUCCAUGAAAAAUUUGGGUGAUGUCUCCAUCCAAGGUUAUAGGUGUUUGAAAAUGGAUUGCUUUGAUUUUGUUUAUUAAAAUUGCCCACAUAAUUGACUGAAGCUGAAUUCCUAGGACAAUUAUCAUAUAGAUGUCCCUCUCUAUAAUAAACACAAGAGACUUCAGCAACUUAGUUAACUGUUGCUGGAACAGUGGCCGUUGCUUUUACCAUAUUUGUCAAUGAGGUUACUUGGGCUGAUAAUGUUGUCAGUGCAUCCACAUUGUGUACUCCUGCUGCUCCUCUCACUGUGGCUUGUCUAGUUGAUGGUCAUUGAUAGUUAUCCUUUCCAAAAUUUCGUAAGCCUCAUUAUAUGAGUUAGACAAUAAAGCCCCUAGUGCUUGAGUUCAACCCAUUGUAGAAAGUUUCCAAUUGUAUGCAAUAAGGAAUACCAUGAUAAGGGCAUCUCCUGAGUAACUCCUUGAAUCUUUCUCAUGCAUCAUACAAGCUUUCAUCUUCAAGUUAAUGGAAAGAUGUGAUCUCAUUCUUCAACUUUGCAUUCUUUGUUGGUAGGAAAUAUUUCAUCAAAAUUUUGUCAGCCAAAUCAUUCCAUGUGGUGAUGGAGUCUGGUGGCAAAGAACUCCAUUGUACCAACUAAAAUUGAUUUCACAAAACACAAUAACCACCAAUCCCCGGCAAUGGUUCAAAAAAUUUGUUGUCGAUUUUCUAAUGCUAUUAGUGUCAAUGUGAAAAUGUACACAACAAGUAAUAUAACGAUAAGUAUUCAAGAUCGUCUCCACAAGGAUUAUUAUUAUAGGAAUUGCUACAAUAAUUUUAUCAGUGCCAUUCUUAUUAUAAAUUAGAAUUAAAAAAAAUUAUUCAACUAAUAAACUAAGGCAGAUCUUAUUGGGCUACUCGGCAAGGUGUUGCUUUAGGUCGUGUGGAAUAGUUGCGGGAGUGAUCUUGCAUGAUGUGUGGAGCUAUAACAGUGCUGAGCAUGGGCCAAUCUAUGGGCUCAUGGAACUAGCGAACCUAUUCUAGAAUUUUGAGGAAGAGUACUCUGGUUAGUACUCUAAAUUACCUUAUUAUAUUUUGCACAAACAGAGGCAUGUUAGUGAAAUAAUAUCUAAGCAACCCAAGAGGGGGUGAAUUGGGUUUCUAAAAAUUAUGCAAUUCUUAAACAAAACUUAAUGCAAAUCUUAAACGAAUUUAAAGCAAUAAUAAAUAAAUCAACCAAAAUAUAAAAAGAUAAGGGAAGAGAGAUUAAAACACAGAGAGUUUUACGUGGUUCGGCCAACCUUGCCUACAUCCAUGCCUCCAAGCUCACCGAGCUUGGGCAUUCCACUAGUCAAGCCUUCAAGGCUUCAAGAAUACUUAUAAUAGACUUCUUAGGUGUCAAUCAACCUUCACAUCUAGAGAUUAUCCCCAAUCUUUUAACCCAAGUGUAUCCCAACAUUUACAAUCACUCAAAAUAAAGAUUACAAAUUUAUUUUUCUUUCAUACAAUUUUUUAAGAUUACAAAUCAACGCUAAUGUGUGAAUAAAUGAACAAGAAUGAAUUUGAAGCUCAAUAAAUGUUGUAUUCUCGAUUAUAAGCUCAAUGAUAACGUUGUGAUAAGCUCUUGUUUGAAUUUGAUUGAGCUUAUUUAUAGUUGGAGUUGAAAAAUAGCCAUUGUUGACUUUUUCCCGAAAUUGGAUCGCCGUUAACCGUUUUGACUGGUCCAAGUGACCAUUGAGCUGAAUUUCAAAUAAACGGUUGAUCAUUUGACACUAUCGGUUUGCCGUUAAUUUCCAUAAACCUGUAAAACAAAUUUCUGCUAUCCGUUCUUGCUAAACAGUUGAAGGUCAGCAUGGAAUGACAUUAUGGAAAUUAUCGGUUGGCCGUUUGAAGUUAACGGGUCACCGUUUACUUCCAGAAUCACAGUUUUAACCAAAUUUCGCAGGGAAUUAUUUUUCAGUUAAAGUGAACGAUUAUCCAUAUUUCAUGAACACAUUUAGAAAGAUUAUACGACUUUUGAGAAAUUGUUAUUAAUGAAAACUCCAACAUUUUAAUAAAAAACAUUUAAAGUUUGUUAUCAUCAAAAUCAAUAUAAUGAACAUCUACAUGUUAACAGUUAGGCCUUGAUUAUUUUUUAAAUCUUAUAAGAUAUAGAGUAUUAAUAGUAACUCAAUUUUCAUAAAACAUGGAAAGAUCAGUCGCCAAAUUUCUAGAUGCCAUAGAUAAUCUAGACUUUAGUAAGGAAUAUCAAGUUAUUUAUACAAUGAAAAUUGUUAAAACUCGAUUAAUUGCAAGGAAACACUUGUAGAGAGAUAUGGAGAGAAUAAACUUUGAAGAUAACAAUGAAAUACAUGACACAUUUAAGGAAGAAAAUAUAAUAGUAUUAAUAGAAUCUAUUUUAACCGGUCUUAAGAUAAUUCAAGAUUGAUGCAAAAUAAAUAACAGGACUCUAAACCGUCCAUAAUCAGUCUAUUGAUUAAUAAUAACAAUAAUAGUGAUGUGAAAUUUUUUAUUCAGAAUGCUCAAUUUAGAUUAUAAUAUCUAUGUGAAAGCAUUGAUGACACGUACCUUGGUUGGGAAAAUAGAUUGGACACAUGGAUAUAUAUGUUGGAAGAAAAAAUCUAGUUUAUGUCUCAAGAGAGACAAUAACUUAUAAAUGCCGGUGCUAUAGUAUAUUCAGAUUUUAUAAAUCUUUAUAAAUUUAAUAAUCAUUUAGAUCUUCAUAAUAUUAUAAUAAAACUUUAAAAACUUUAAAAAAAUAUGUAGAAGAGAUGGAAGAAGAAAUCAUCCAGUUAUUCAAAAUCAAUUAAACAAAAAUAGAAGGUAAAAUCCAUGAAUUAUAUAAAUUAUACAAUUUCAUAGAAAUUUUGCAUAUAUUGCAAAAAGGUCCUUGUGGCACUAAUUAUGGGACUAGUGUAGCAUAAAUACUAAUAUUGCUUUUUAUUUUGUAAAUUAAUUGUUGCGUCAUAAUUUUUUUACAUACAAAUUUUAUGUUUUAAAAUAUGAAUUUUGUUUUUGUAUUUAGGGUUAAUUUUACAAUUUCAUACUUUGUUCAAUUAUAUGUACAGGUCCUUAACGUGUUGGUUGAUGUUGAAUAUUCAAAGAUCCACAAGCUAUCAAUGACAACCAAUCAAAUUAAACUAAUCAGUAAAUACAUAAUGACUGGGUUGUUUCCUAUGCUUGUUAAUGAUGUAGGAUGUUAUUUUAGGAAUUUAGAAUUUUAAUUUUUUAGGUCUUCUGAUAUUUUCUUUUUUAAUUAAAGUCAGUGUCUUAGUUUUUUUUUUAUUUCUGUUAUAAUUAUAAUUUACUUUCACUUUUUAAGUUAACUUAGGAAAAUAUAUUUACUGUAUUAUAAAUAAAGAAAUCUUGUUAUUACUUUAUAACUUCAACUUUAGUUAUUCAAUUAAAAACCACUCUUUUAUAAUGUCCUUUUGUAUUAUCUAUUAAAAACCCUCUUUUAUAAUGUUCUUUUGUAUUAUCUAUUAAAAACCCCUCUUUUAAAGUUGUUUGAUUAGAGCAUCAUCUAGCCUUGCUUAACGCAAUAUUAAAAAUUCCUUUGAGUUUAAUCACACGUCGAUUAGAGCAUAACUUAAUCGCAUUGACUUGGUUCAGUACUUGAACGAUAUCUAGUGUUUUGCUUCUGCUACACCCAAGGAGAAAAUUAAUUUCACCGUGAGAUAAGAGCAUUAAAAGGAAUUCAUAAGAAAUUUAAAUUAAAGCUAUGUUAAAUAUAUCGCUAGCUACUUGUUUUUGGAGGAAUUAAAACAAUUAAUUAGCUGCGAAGUGAAAAUGAAUAAAUAAAUGAAAUGAGGUUCAAAAUAAGUCUCGCCGCCUGGAUCCAAGGCCAAAACAUUCAUGAUAAGUUAGGUAAUUAAGUACAUGUUUUCAAGCUCUUCAUGAAGAAUAACGUUAUUGAAAUAAAUCACAAAGACCCCUGCGCAAAUUAUUACAUUGAUUAAAAAACAAAAAGCCAUAUCUUUAACAGGAUCGUGACUCUCGGACUGUUAAUUACUUUAUUCCCUGCUUGGCCAACAGCUGGCCACUAAACAAAAUCAUAUAAAUUUUAAAUUUAGUCAAAUUGGUCCCACUUGAGACAUCCUUUUCAUACAUAAAAUUGUUUAACGUCAAGGUUAAAUAUGAGAAGUUUGGUAGAGAAGGUAAAAAGGAAGUCUAUAUAAGGAGGGGAACGAGCUUUGUUUAUAGCACAAGUGAAACUCCACUUUAUUGAACGAUGGGGUCUCAAAUGGGCUGCCUCUUUGCCACUCUUUUGGUAGUAUCAGUCUCUCUUAGCUACUUGCCGUUAGAAGCCUCCGCAAACAAAUACUACUACACAUCUCCUCCCCCUCCCAAGUACAAGUCUCCACCACCCCCGCCACCGAUUCACAAUUCUCCACCACCACCCCCUGUUUACCUGCCCCCGCCACCUCCUCCACCAGUCUACGUGCCUGCUCCGGCACCAACUCCAAUUUCCUAUUCCCCGCCACCUCCUGUCCCCAAGUCCCCACCACCACCUCACCCUUACGUCUAUGCAUCUCCCCCUCCUCCUUACUACUACUAGAAAGCGGCCAUGAAUAGCUCAUGCUUUUAUGGUAAUCUCAUUUAUUUUUAAAACUGUACAUGUAAAGACUAGUAGUUCAGAAUUACAUUAAGCAUUUCAA